rnacentral:rRNA from 1 species
GACGAACGCUGGCGGCGUGCUUAACACAUGCAAGUCGAACGAUGAAGCUAGAGCUUGCUCUGGUGAAUUAGUGGCGAACGGGUGAGUAACACGUGAGUGACCUGCCCCGAACUCUGGGAUAACUGCUGGAAACGGUAGCUAAUACUGGAUACGACCUACGAAGGCAUCUUCUGUAGGUGGAAAGAAUUUCGGUUCGGGAUGGACUCGCGGCCUAUCAGCGUGUUGGUGAGGUAAUGGCUCACCAAGGCGGCGACGGGUAGCCGGCCUGAGAGGGUGACCGGCCACACUGGGACUGAGACACGGCCCAGACUCCUACGGGAGGCAGCAGUGGGGAAUAUUGCACAAUGGGCGCAAGCCUGGUGCAGCAACGCCGCGUGAGGGAUGACGGCCUUCGGGUUGUAAACCUCUUUUAGUAGGGAAGAAGCGAAAGUGACGGUACCUGCAGAAAAAGCACCGGCUAACUACGUGCCAGCCGCCGCGGUAA